GGAUGAACGUUGGCGGUGUGCCUAAUACAUGCAAGUCGAACGGAGUUAAUAGCAAUAUUGACUUAGUGGCGAACGGGUGAGUAACGCGUUGGUGAUCUGCCUCGAAGUGUGGAAUAACGUUCCGAAAGGAACGCUAAUACCGCAUGUGCUCUCGAUUUUUAGAAAGUUGAGAGUAAAGGAUUUAUUCGCUUCGAGAGGAGCCUGCGUCCCAUCAGCUGGUUGGUAGGGUAACGGCCUACCAAGGCUAUGACGGGUAGGGGACCUGAGAGGGUGGCCCCCCACAAUGGAACUGAAACACGGUCCAUACACCUACGGGUGGCAGCAGUAGGGAAUAUUAGAAAUGGACGAAAGUCUGAUCUAGCAACACCGCGUGUGCGAAGAAGGCCUUCGGGUCGUAAAGCACUUUUUGGAAGGAAUAGGAAGGAAUGUACUUCCAGAAUAAGUCUCGGCUAACUACGUGCCAGCAGCCGCGGUAACACGUAGGAGGCAAACGUUAUCCGGAUUUACUGGGCGUAAAGCGCGUGUAGGUGGUUCUGUAAGUAGGGCGUGAAAGCUCCCGGCUCAACUGGGAGAGGCCGUUCUAAACUACAGAACUAGAGGAUGGUAGAGGGAGGUGGAAUUCCAGGUGUAGCGGUGGAAUGCGCAGAUAUCUGGAGGAACACCAGUGGCGAAGGCGGCUUCCUGGCACAAUACUGACGCUCAUGUGCGAAAGCUAGGGCAGCGAACGGGAUUAGAUACCCCGGUAGUCCUAGCCGUAAACGAUGGAUACUAGGUGUGGGUGUCGCAGGGCAUCCGUGCCGCAGUUAACGCGUUAAGUAUCCCGCCUGGGGACUACGGUCGCAAGACUGAAACUCAAAGGAAUUGACGGGGGCCCGCACAAGCGGUGGAGCACGUGGUUUAAUUCGAUGCAAACCGAAGAACCUUACCUGGGUUUGACAUGCAGGUGUUAGUGAAGAGAGAUCGGAACGACUCUGCAGUAAUGUAGGGAGCCUGCACAGGUGCUGCAUGGCUGUCGUCAGCUCGUGUCGUGAGAUGUUGGGUUAAGUCCCGCAACGAGCGCAACCCCUAUUGCCAGUUGCUAACAGGAGAGCUGAGCACUCUGGCGAGACUGCCGCCGACAAGGCGGAGGAAGGUGGGGAUGACGUCAAGUCAUCAUGGCCUUUAUGCCCNNNNNNACACACGUGCUACAAUGGCCGGCACAGACGGCAGCUUAGUGGCGACACUUGGCCAAUCCUCUAAAGCCGGUCCCAGUUCGGAUUGCAGUCUGCAACUCGACUGCAUGAAGUCGGAAUCGCUAGUAAUCGCAGAUCAGCCAAGCUGCGGUGAAUACGUUCCCGGGCCU
rnacentral:rRNA from 1 species